rnacentral:rRNA from 1 species
CAGAGACUGCUAAGCGUUAUUCGGAUUCACUGGGGCGUUAAAGGGUGCGCAGGCGGUCGUGUGUGUCAGGUGUGAAAUCCCGGAGCUUAACUCCGGAACUUGCGCCUGAAACUACACGACUUAGAGCAUUGGAGAGGGAAGUGGAAUUCAUGGUGUAGCAGUGAAAUGCGUAGAUAUCAUGAGGAACACCAGAGGCGAAGGCGACUUCCUGGACAAUUGCUGACGCUCAGGCACGAAAGCAUGGGGAGCAAAAGGGAUUAGAUACCCCUGUAGUCCAUGCCCUAAACGGUGCACACUAGGUCUUGGAGGAUUCGACCCCUUCAGGGCCCAAGCCAACGCGUUAAGUGUGCCGCCUGAGGACUACGGUCGCAAGACUA